CGGAAUUCAAAAUCAGAAAUAAUCCCAAGUUUGAGUCAUCCAAUGUGCUUGUCUACAUUGAUUGCACUCACCAGAUAAAAGUCCAAUGCACUCUGUGGGGUGAAACAGCCUCUGUCUCAGGUUGGGAGUUGCUGCCAUGGAGACCACAAGAGUGGAGAUUUUCUGACACACAGAAAGGAAUGGAUUACAGCUCCUUCUUAUGUAAAUUUCCAUGGAGGGGAAAAAAGAUUAAAAGGAAAAUAAUUCUGCUUUAGUCGUUUUCCUUUAAGGUGAUAAGAUCCUUUGAUUCCAUCGUGGAGAAGAAGGCAACAGCUGUUUGUCACAAAUGGUCCAAAAUGGCUGCUAAAAUUCCUGCCACUACAUCUGGAUCCCAGGCAGCAGGAAGGAGAAAUGGAAGAAGACCUGUCCUGUCCCUGAGACAAUGCCAUUCAGCAUGUUCCAUACAAUAUCUCUGCUUAUUGAUCACUGGCCAGAACUUGACAGAGAUGAACAAUGAGGCUUUUUUGUUCUGCUUUUUAUGUUCUGCUACAGACAAAAAGAAAAAAAAGCGUAUGUAUUUAUAGUCUACUUGAUUUUAAUAAAGGAUUGAGUGCAGCCUAAGGCAUGUGCAUGUUAUCCUGUAGGUAACAGGGGCCACAAAUGGGUUGUGGCUAAUGGAACAUGGCUGAAGGGUCUGUGCCAGUUCUGAGCCUCAGGAGGCACUGCUGUUUCUUCUUGCCCUUCUGGGACUUUUGCCAUGGGAAGAACCCACAGUCUUGGGGUCUUUUUCAGCCUGGGUUCCAGAAUGAGAUGCAUUCUGAACAUGAAGGUGGGGCAGAUCUGAACUUGACCCAUCACCUGAAGCCAAACUGUCCAAACCACCUCUCAAAGCUAUGAGCAACAAAUAAAUGCUUAUUUUGU
rnacentral:lncRNA from 1 species